rnacentral:lncRNA from 1 species
UGGAGGAUAUUCUUCCAGAUCAAGUGCUUUGGGAGCUGGGUGUUACAGUGCAGACAAGGCCAAGUCCAAGAACCACACCACACACAACCAGUCCCGAAAAUGGCACAGAAUGGCAUCAAGAAACCCCGAUUGCAAAGAUAUGAAUCUCUUAAGGGGGUGGACCCCAAGUUCCUGAGGAACAUGGGCUUUGCCAAGAAGUGCAACAAGAAGGGCCUAAAGAAGAUGCAGGCCAACAAUGCCAAGGCCAUGAGUGCACGUACUGAGGCUAUCAAGGUCCUCAUAAAGCCAAAGGAGGUUAAGCCCAGAUGCCAAAGGGUGUCAGCCUCAAGCUCAAUCAAUUUGCCUACAUUACCCACCCCAAGCUUGGGAAGUGUGCUUGUGCCCGCAUUGCCAAGGGUCUCAGGUUGUGUGGGCCAAAGGCCAAAGCCAAGGAUCAAACCAAGGCCCAGGCUGCAGCUCCAGCUUCAGUUUCAGCUCAGGCUCCCAAAGAUGCCCAGGCCCCUACAAAGACUUCAGGGUAGAGAUCUCUGUCUGCCAACGUGAGGACAGAAGGACUGGUGUGACCCACCCUGGGCUGCCAUCAGCAUGGGGCUGGUGUCUUCCUGUGCUAUUUGUAUAAAUAAG